GCAUAUCAAUAAGCGGAGGAAAAGAAACUAACAAGGAUUCCCCUAGUAACGGCGAGUGAAGAGGGAAAAGCUCAAAUUUAAAAGCUGUUGCCUUUCAGGUAACCGCAUUGUAAUCUCAAGAAGUGUUUUCGAUUGUAGCCUGCGUAUAAGUACCUUGGAAUAGGUUGGCAUAGAGGGUGAAACUCCCGUCUUUGAUGCAGAUUACUAUGAUCAUGUGAUACACUUUCUAAGAGUCGAGUUGUUUGGGAAUGCAGCUCAAAAUGGGUGGUAAAUUCCAUCUAAAGCUAAAUAUUGGCCUGAGACCGAUAGCGAACAAGUACCGUGAGGGAAAGAUGAAAAGCACUUUGGAAAGAGAGUCAAACAGAACGUGAAAUUGCUGAAAGGGAAGCGUUUGAAGUUAGUCUGAUAGAAGUUGUUCAAUUGUUACUUUGGUUUCAAUGUAUGCAACUUUUUAUCGGUCAACAUCAAUUUUGAUUGAUGGAUAAAGGUAAUAGAAAUGUGGCUACAUUUGUAGUGUUAUAGUCUAUUAUCAUAAACAUUGAUUGAGAUUGAGGACGGCAGUGUACCUUUUAGGAAGGUGUUCGCACCUAUUACACUAAGGAUGUUGACAAAAUAGCUUUAAGCGACCCGUCUUGAAACACGGACCAAGGAGUCUAACAUAUCUGCGAGUAUUUGAGUGACAAACUCGAAUGCGUAAUGAAAGUGAAUGUAGGUGUGAAGCGUAAGCUGCAACAUCGACCGAUCUGGAAUUUUUAUAAUGAUGGAUUUGAGUAAGAGCAUAUAUGUUGGGACCCGAAAGAUGGUGAACUAUGCCUGAAUAGGGUGAAGCCAGAGGAAACUCUGGUGGAGGCUCGUAGCGGUUCUGACGUGCAAAUCGAUCGUCAAAUUUGGGUAUAGGGGCGAAAGACUAAUCGAACCAUCUAGUAGCUGGUUCCUGCCGA
rnacentral:rRNA from 1 species